CCCGGGCCCCCGUUAAAAAAAAAAAAUAAUAUUGAAGGAAAAAAAGACCCGGGCGAGCUUUAGAAAAAAGCAGGAAUAUAAGUAUUAAAAAAAAUCAAUGACUACAUAACUCUUUAGUUGGGGCGACUAAGGAACAAAUAAAGCUUCUUUUAGUUUUUUAGAUCAAUAAAUUUAGAUCCAGCAAAGCUGAUUAAAAGAAUUAGUUACCGCAGGGAUAACAGCAUAAUCUCUCUUGAGAGACCUAAUCGAAAGAGGGGGUUGUGACCUCGAUGUUGGACUAAAAUAUCCUGAAGAUGCAGACGUCUUCGAAGGUUGGUCUGUUCGACCAUUAAAAUUUUACGUGAUCUGAGUUCAGACCGG
rnacentral:rRNA from 1 species